rnacentral:rRNA from 1 species
GACGAACGCUGGCGGCGUGCCUAAUACAUGCAAGUAGAACGCUGAAGGAGGAGCUUGCUCUUCUGGAUGAGUUGCGAACGGGUGAGUAACGCGUAGGUAGCCUGCCUGGUAGCGGGGGAUAACUAUUGGAAACGAUAGCUAAUACCGCAUAACAGUAGAUGUUGCAUGACAUUUGCUUAAAAGGUGCAAUUGCACCACUACCAGAUGGACCUGCGUUGUAUUAGCUAGUUGGUGGGGUAACGGCUCACCAAGGCGACGAUACAUAGCCGACCUGAGAGGGUGAUCGGCCACACUGGGACUGAGACACGGCCCAGACUCCUACGGGAGGCAGCAGUAGGGAAUCUUCGGCAAUGGACGGAAGUCUGACCGAGCAACGCCGCGUGAGUGAAGAAGGUUUUCGGAUCGUAAAGCUCUGUUGUAAGAGAAGAACGAGUGUGAGAGUGGAAAGUUCACACUGUGACGGUAUCUUACCAGAAAGGGACGGCUAACUACGUG